GACGAACGCUGGCGGCGUGCUUAACACAUGCAAGUCGAACGGAAAGGCCCUGCUUUUGUGGGGUGCUCGAGUGGCGAACGGGUGAGUAACACGUGAGUAACCUGCCCUUGACUUUGGGAUAACUUCAGGAAACUGGGGCUAAUACCGGAUAGGAGCUCCUGCUGCAUGGUGGGGGUUGGAAAGUUUCGGCGGUUGGGGUUGGACUCGCGGCUUAUCAGCUUGUUGGUGGGGUAAUGGCUUACCAAGGCUUUGACGGGUAGCCGGCCUGAGAGGGUGACCGGCCACAUUGGGACUGAGAUACGGCCCAGACUCCUACGGGAGGCAGCAGUGGGGAAUAUUGCACAAUGGGCGGAAGCCUGAUGCAGCAACGCCGCGUGCGGGAUGACGGCCUUCGGGUUGUAAACCGCUUUCGCCUGUGACGAAGCGUGAGUGACGGUAAUGGGUAAAGAAGCACCGGCUAACUACGUG
rnacentral:rRNA from 1 species